CAGCAGCCGCGGGAAUACGUAGGGUGCGAGCGUUAAUCGGAAUUACUGGGCGUAAAGCGUGCGCAGGCGGUUUGUUAAGUCAGAUGUGAAAUCCCCGAGCUUAACUUGGGAACUGCAUUUGAAACUGGCAAGCUAGAGUCUUGUAGAGGGGGGUAGAAUUCCAGGUGUAGCGGUGAAAUGCGUAGAGAUCUGGAGGAAUACCGGUGGCGAAGGCGGCCCCUUGGACAAAGACUGACGCUCAGGUGCGAAAGCGUGGGGAGCAAACAGGAUUAGAUACCCCUGUAGUCCCUGUCUCUUAUAC
rnacentral:rRNA from 1 species